rnacentral:lncRNA from 1 species
UUUAAAACACCCAAAGCAUAGUUAAAGACUGUGAGUUUAGUAUGCUUAACUAAGUCAAACUCGUUUGUCUUACCAAAGUACAUGCUUAGGCGAAACCACUGUUAACAUAAAUAAUUUAACAUUUAUUCCAAAAGAUUUAAGCAACAAUUUAUAUUGCAUGAGAAAUGCUCAAAAUAAGCACAGACAUACAGCUCGAAGGUGCUCUGCAUUGUUCUCUGCAAAUGGCAAUACUGAGCCCGAACCUAAUGAAGAUUCAACGACGCCCAUAUUUGGCUGAUUCACAGCAUUUGGGUCAUGUAUAUUAAAAGCCAUGACAGCUAAUGUACACACUCCUAAUGGCGCAUCAUUCUUUGUCCCACGCCGAGCAGCAGCACGUUGCUCGCGGCUCCUUCGAUUUUUCUCAGCACGAGCCUCUUCUAAACUUCCAUAUACUCUAUUUCGACCCAUUCUCAAAGCAUAUUAUACACAGCUCAAGCGGAAACCAAACAAACGUCUAAAAUGAACCAUACAAAAGAACCACAGCAACAAAAAUGAAUUUCCAGCGAAGCCAAUCAAACAGUGAAGUACUUUAAAACCAAAAGAAACUUUCUCAAGUUAUUUCCGAAGCUGCGAAAGAAAACUAAGAAGAAAAAUUAGAGCCAAAA